GCGGGUGCGGUGCGGGUUGAAACUUCUUUUAAGAAUUUAGUGCGGGUUGCGGGUUUCCUCCCUUUACAUUUUGAAACUGACACUUUUUGGAAGAAAAAUUGCUCAAGUCUGCUGCUGAGAUUGAAACUGAACAUACCUUGUUCUUAUUUAGGAAGAAAUAUUCGGCCCAGAAAUAAUUUCAAAUUUCAAUGCUAAAUUGGAUAUGUUUCAAACAAUUUAAUUUGCAAAAUCAAGUAGAAAACAAUUAAAGUUCAAUAGUUGCUAGUAAUGUGUAGAAUGACAUGACCUGCAAUUCCCAUUUAAAUGUUUCCAUCUUUUUGAAUAAAAUAGCGCUAACGUAAUUGGCCCAAAAAAGUGUUCUUUGGAAUUAUAGAUUCUUGGGGGUUGCAGAAAUCAGUGCACAGAUUAAAAAAGAAAACCUCUUUGUAAAAUAGAGGUUGCAUAUCAGGAAGCUGUUGCAUAAAGAGGCAAGAGGAACUCAUCUGUGAAGAGGAGGCUGCUCGGUUGGCUGAAACUGAGCAGAAAGCUAAACGAGCAUCUGAGAAGGAAAAGAACUCAAAGAAAAAGCAGGAAUUGAUUUACAUUCUGUUUAAUUACAAAAAUUACAUGAAGAAUCAGACAUAUUGUUUAUACAAUUAAUCAGCACAUCUGAAAGUGAUGCUACUAGGUCCAUUUUUGUGUCUGAAGGCUCAGAUGCUACUAGGUUCGUGAUAGACAUACUUAUUGACAAAAGAGCGAGACUAACGUACCCAAGAGAGGGAAAAGCAAGAGUAACCCAAGAAAUAAUUUCUCGUGGCUAUAUUGCCAGUUUUUGUGACUGGAGGUUUAGUAUACACAACCUUAUAUCUUUAAUUUGCAUUAAUGACCUGUUACAGAUGGCUGAGUUUUAGCACGGGCUAAAAUCACUCUCUCCGACUGAGUAGGACAAAAAUUGUUAAAAUGUAUAUAUGUUGCACAAUGGAGCACACGAGCCCCUUGAUGUCUCUGAGAUAAAAAAGAUGAUCCACUACCCAUUCAGAAAAGGAUAAGCAAGAUGCUUUGAUAAGAAAUUUUUUGAAGUGGCUCUGGAAAUGCCGGACUAAGGAGCUUUUCAUGUAUGACCAUGGAUAUUUAUCUUUGGUGCAAUUUUUUUUAAUUCAAUUUUAACUUUUUGCAAGGUCCUUUGUAGCUUCUGGUGCUAUAUAAUGUAAUUUCUCUCA